UGGUUAUUUUUAAUACAUUGUGUCAUUACAAUGACUGAGGAUUUAUUGUCCGUUACUGACUGUCAAAAAAGUCUAUGUAUAAAAUUUCCAUAAAUAUGAUCCAAUUACUACAAGUAACAUAAUGUUUGAUGUGCCGCAACAUACAUGUCAAAAAAAAAAAAAAAAAAUCAAAUAGAAAGUCUUACCUCAAAUGUAAAAAGUAGCUUUCAAAAUGAAUUUCGUGAUUCAAAAUAUAUACCUACAACAUUGAUGAUCACACAAUAUCUUGUAUGUUCAAGUAUUAACAUACAUAUAGUAUGUAGUCUAUAUACACUACUAUACUGUCUCUACAAUCCUCUACAGUUUUAUGUGUUGGAAAAUCAUCAAUUUAUGUACC